rnacentral:rRNA from 1 species
GUCUUAAAGAAUUUAAUUUUAAGUCAAAUCUGCCCAAUGAUUAAUUUUUAAUGGCUGCAGUAUAAAUAACUGUACAAAGGUAGCAUAAUAAUUUGUUUUUUAAUUAAAAACUAGAAUAAAUGAUUAAAUGAAAUAUAAACUUUAUUAAUAUUUAUAAUUAAAAUUUUUAUUUAAGUAAAAAAACUUAAAUAAUUAUAAAAGACGACAAGACCCUAUAGAAUUUUAUUUAUUAAAUAAAUAUAAAUUAUAUUUUAUUUUUUUAUAAUUUUUUAAUAAAUUUAAUUGGGGUAAUUAAAAAAUUUAAAAAAUUUUUUUAAUAAAAUACAUAAAUUUAUGAAAUUAAAAUAUCUUAAAAUUUAAAUUAUUAAAAUUAAUUACCUUAGGGAUAACAGCAUAAUUUUUUUUAAAAGAUCUUAUUAAUAAAAAAGAUUAU